rnacentral:rRNA from 1 species
CCUACGGGGGGCAGCAGUAGGGAAUCUUCCACAAUGGGCGAAAGCCUGAUGGAGCAACGCCGCGUGGGUGAAGAAGGUCUUCGGAUCGUAAAACCCUGUUGUUAGAGAAGAAAGUGCGUGAGAGUAACUGUUCACGUUUCGACGGUAUCUAACCAGAAAGCCACGGCUAACUACGUGCCAGCAGCCGCGGUAAUACGUAGGUGGCAAGCGUUAUCCGGAUUUAUUGGGCGUAAAGGGAACGCAGGCGGUCUUUUAAGUCUGAUGUGAAAGCCUUCGGCUUAACCGGAGUAGUGCAUUGGAAACUGGGAGACUGGAGUGCAGAAGAGGAGAGUGGAACUCCAUGUGUAGCGGUGAAAUGCGUAGAUAUAUGGAAGAACACUAGUGGCGAAAGCGGCUCUCUGGUCUGUAACUGACGCUGAGGUUCGAAAGCGUGGGUAGCAAACAGGAUUAGAUACCCGUGUAGUC